CUAGGGGAUGAAGUGGGGGCGCUCGGCUCUUCAGCCUCACUCGCAGCUGCCGGGAGCUGGGGAGAGCGGCCCCCUCCUCGGGACGGGCGUGCAGACCUCUGACCCUGGAGCCUCUUAGCCGCCGGGAGCCGUCCCCUUGGGUCGUCGCCCGGGCCGCCCGCCGUUCCCCGGCCCCGAGGGGCCCGGCCGGCCGCGGUGGGGGGAGAGGUCAGCAUGAGCCGGGGGCCCCGGCGGGCCGGCGCCGGGCAGGGGGCGGCGGCCGCAGUGCAGCUGCUGGUCACUCUGAGCUUCCUCCCGAGCGUCGUCGAGGCCCAGGUCACCGGAGUCCUGGAUGAUUGCUUGUGUGAUAUUGAUAGCAUUGAUAACUUUAACACCUUCAAAAUCUUCCCCAAAAUAAAAAAGUUGCAAGAGAGAGACUACUUCCGUUAUUACAAGGUUAAUCUGAAGCGACCAUGUCCUUUCUGGGCAGAAGAUGGCCAUUGUUCAAUAAAAGACUGCCAUGUGGAGCCCUGUCCAGAGAGUAAAAUUCCAGUCGGAAUUAAAGCCGGGAGUUCUAAUAAGUACUCAAAAGUGGCAAACAGCACCAAAGAAUUAGAAGAUUGUGAACAAGCUAAUAAACUGGGAGCAAUUAACAGCACAUUAAGUAAUCAAAGCAAAGAAGCCUUCAUUGACUGGGCAAGAUAUGAUGAUUCACAGGAUCACUUUUGUGAACUUGAUGAUGAGCGAUCCCCAGCUGCUCAGUAUGUCGACCUGUUGCUGAACCCAGAGCGUUACACUGGCUACAAAGGGCCCUCUGCAUGGAGAGUGUGGAACAGCAUCUACGAAGAAAACUGUUUCAAGCCUCGAUCUGUUUAUCGUCCCUUAAAUCCUCUGACGCCUAGCCGAGGAGAAGAUGAUGGAGAAUCGUUCUACACGUGGCUAGAAGGUUUGUGUCUGGAGAAGAGAGUCUUCUAUAAGCUUAUAUCGGGACUUCAUGCUAGUAUCAAUUUACAUCUGUGUGCAAAUUAUCUUUUGGAAGAAACGUGGGGUAAACCUAGCUGGGGACCCAAUAUGAAAGAAUUUAAACGCCGCUUUGACCCUGUGGAAACUAAGGGAGAAGGUCCAAGAAGGCUUAAGAAUCUGUACUUUUUAUACUUAAUUGAGCUUCGAGCUUUAUCAAAGGUCGCCCCGUAUUUUGAGCGCUCAAUUGUUGAUCUUUACACUGGAAACGUAGAAGAAGAUGCUGACACAAAAACCCUUCUACUGAAUAUCUUUCAAGAUACAAGGUCCUUUCCCAUGCACUUUGAUGAGAAGUCCAUGUUUGCAGGUGACAAAAAGGGGGCCAAGUCAUUAAAGGAGGAGUUCCGCUUACACUUCAAGAACAUCUCCCGAAUAAUGGACUGCGUUGGAUGUGACAAAUGCAGAUUAUGGGGGAAAUUGCAGACUCAGGGUUUAGGAACUGCCCUGAAGAUCCUAUUCUCUGAAAAAGAAAUCCAAAAGCUCCCAGAGAACAGCCCAUCUAAAGGCUUCCAACUCACCCGACAGGAAAUAGUUGCUCUUUUAAAUGCUUUCGGGAGCUCGUGCCCCUCUCUGUGACAGAUGGAUGAUAGAAAGUCUUCUCCCAGAGCUAACGUGAUGAUGACCUGAGAUUAGACAUGACCGUGCUUCUAAAACUACAGGAUGCUACCUGAAUUCCAUGGCUUUCUACAAGUAUAAGAGAGUUACAGAAUUUUAAAGUCUUAUUACAACACAGUAGGUAAUAAAGGCUUUUAUAUGUCUAAUUAGAGACAUAAUGUGACUGUGUGAAGCCUGUUAGUCUUGGACAUUCAGCAGAAGGAGACUAAUCUUCAAAGACUUGAAGAAAGAAUUCUGAACUCUUAGAGAGAAAAUUCAAAUGUUCACUUGAAUAUUUAUGAUUCUUAAUAGAUUGUCAAUUAGAGAUAUUUAUAAAUGAAGUAUAUGCUUUUAAAACAUGUAAAUUAUACUAAUUCUGUGUUUAAUUUCAUGUUUCCACUUGUUGAAUAUUCUGCUAUUCUGUUUAGAACUGGUUUUGUUCUUACUCUAUUAUCCUUGAUUUCCAGUUGUCCAACUUAUAUGACCAUCCUGAUAACACUGUUAGCAGUCUGUUCUGGAAAAAGAGAGCUAGAGAACAAAUGUUGCUUAGAGCUGAUGUCCGUGAUAAAAAUUUAUCAGUGAUCUUUGAAACGUGUUUGGAUUAGCUUUGCCUCAUUCCGGGUGUCACCCUCUGUAACAUGGAGGUGUCGGUGUGAUGAAUGGUACUUUCAGUGUAAGAAUCCCCAUCCCCAGGGCUUCAACUUCAGUUUCCCUGGUGUUUAUGUAAGGUUUUUAGUUGCUGUUGUUGUGGCUGUUUUGGUCUAAAGGCCCUGCUUCAGUAGAGGUGAAAAAGCACCAUCCCCUGUACUGGCUGCCCGGCCGGACCCCCCAAGUGUGUCAUGGGCAGGUCUUCACCUAGAGCCUAUCCUAUAUACCCAUUUCCUUUGACUCUGUAUUUCUCUGUCCGUACUCGAAUUACAGAAUUUUUGUUCACUUUGAGAAAACAAAAAAAUUGCGUAAAUAUUUAAGUUUUGCCUUGAUAAAAUGUGAAUGGGAUUAUAUGGAUCUGUAACGCUACCUUCAAACAUUAUAUACACAAAAUUUACUCUUUUAAAUUAAGCAUUUUUAAAGGAAUUUUAUUUUUAUUUUUAUUUUAGAAUACAAUCUAUGCAAUCCCCUGUCAACCUGAAUAUCUUCAGUAGGUCAUUCGAGCAGGUAGAGGAGUUCAAGCCUCCGUGAUGCUCCCCGUCCCCGCCUCUCUUUUCCUUUCAGUCCCUUGUAUAUAAAUGGUACCUUGUGGGACUUGUACCAACAAGUGACUCUCAAGUCCUCAGCUUAUUUUCUAAAGCUGGGGUUUAGAUAUCCUUAAUAUUUAAAAUACUCUUUUUAAAGCUGUUAGAGAUAGAUUAAUUUGGAAGGAGGCACUGUGUAGAAGUAAUGCGGGGACAUUUCUCCUUCAGUCUUUUAUGAAGUGCUCUUAAACCCACAUCUCACCUGCCAGAGUCUGAAAUGUGUUCAUUGAUGAUUUAGUGGAGUGUUUUAAAUUGUGCUUCGUUGGCUCACCCCUCUUUUAAAAAUACUCGGUCAUCCCUUGGAGGGAUAUGGCUGAAGGGGAGUAAGGUCUCACUAGUUAAUUAUUUUCUUACCCAAUUUCUAACCUUUAUAGACCCAGGGGUUUUUUGUUGUUGAUGGUGGUGACUUGUUUGUUUGUUAAGUCGAAUAAAACAGACCGGCUUGACUGGAGAGCCUUCUCUACUUUUUCUUUUCAUUCUUAGGAAUGUAAGUAUUGUGCGGUGGGAGAGGGGGACCUUAAGGUAAAAAGUGAGUAAGUAAUCUUGUUGGUAAAUUAGUAAGAAUUAUUCUUAGUGUUCAUUCAGAGUUUAAGAAAAUGUGAAAGUUUUGCACUUUGUCUAUUACUGUAAGUUUAAAAAAUCGUUUGGUAGUGUUACUUUACUGUUCCCUCCGUUAAAGAUAAAACUGUUAUUUAAAUUCUGUUGACUGGAGAAAAUCCUUGGUCAUUUCCAUUUAUUGCUUUUUUUCUUUAUGUGAUUUGCUUGAAGCUUAGGAAAAAUUGUAUAUUAGAGUGAGUUCUAGGAAAUUAAAAGGUUAGGAUUCAGUUCUUUUCAGGGUUUUAAUGGAUGUUUUCACUACCAAGAAAAUAAACAAGUGAAGUAUUCUUAAGCUGAAAUUUAUGUAACUUUAUUUUACCGCAAAUUGGAUUGGGGGGGGGGGCAGCCUACAUUUUCACGUAUGUGUGUAUCUCCUAAAUGUACGUGUAGGAACCUCUGUUUUGUGCGCCUGGUGAUACUGUACGAUCUUUGUGAUAUAAUGUGUUUUUCUAAGUCACAGACCCCCUUGUGCAGGGACACUAGAGCACUGAGUGUGUCGUGAAAACACGUGGCUGGUAUCUCCUCCCGCAUUGUGUCUUCUCUCGUCACCUGAUUUAAAAGUCCAGCACUUGAUACUAUAACUGACAGAAAUGAUUGUACUGGCUGAUGAAGUAAUGAAAAUGAAGAAAAGGAAAAUAAUUCCUUCCUUCAACAGCAUGGGUUUAUUUUUUUUCCCCUUAAGUGGCAUCUAUGUAAGUUAGAAAUAUUAUAUAUUAAAACUGAUAAAAUUUGAA